GGUUAGGGGUUAGGGGUUAGGUUCUAUACUUAAUCUAGAUGCUGCCCAUGCCAGUGGGUUUGGGUUAGGGGUUAGAGGUUAGGGGUUAGGUUAUAUACUAACUUAAUCUAGAUAAUGUCCAUGCCAGUGGGUUUGGGUUAGAGGUUAGGGGUUAGAGGUUAGGGGUUAGGUUAUAUACUAACUUAAUCUAGAUGCUGUCCAUGCCAGUGGGUUUGGGUUAGAGGUUAGGGGUUAGAGGUUAGGGGUUAGGUUAUAUACUAACUUAAUCUAGAUAAUGUCCAUGCCAGUGGGUUUGGGUUAGAGGUUAGGGGUUAGAGGUUAGGGGUUAGGUUAUAUACUAACUUAAUCUAGAUGCUGUCCAUGCCAGUGGGUUUGGGUUAGAGGUUAGGGGUUAGAGGUUAGGUUAUAUACUAACUUAAUCUAGAUAAUGCCCAUGCCAGUGGGUUUGGGUUAGAGGUUAGGGGUUAGAGGUUAGGUUCUAUACUUAAUCUAGAUGCUGCCCAUGCCAGUGGGUUUGGGUUAGGGGUUAGAGGUUAGGGGUUAGGUUAUAUACUAACUUAAUCUAGAUGCUGUCCAUGCCAGUGGGUUUGGGUUAGAGGUUAGGGGUUAGGUUAUAUACUAACUUAAUCUAGAUGCUGUCCAUGCCAGUGGGUUUGGGUUAGAGGUUAGGGGUUAGAGGUUAGGGGUUAGGUUAUAUACUAACUUAAUCUAGAUGCUGUCCAUGCCAGUGGGUUUGGGUUAGAGGUUAGGGGUUAGAGGUUAGGUUAUAUACUAACUUAA